ACCUGCGGAAGGAUCAUUGUCGAAACCUGCUUAGCAGAAAACCAUGUGAACAUGUUGYAAUACCCGGGAGGAGUGCAUUCUAUGUUCCUUCUCCCCCGAAGUCAGGAAUUGCUCGAUAYGUCUCCCACCMUUGCUCCAUGCAUGAGUGAGUGAAGUAUCGGGUGUCCUUGACUUCACAACUCACCCCGGCGUGAAUUACGCCAAGGAAAUUUUAWAAGAUUGAACUUYCUCCAUUGUUGUUUUUGUGCAUGCAAUURGAGGAAGYGUCAUCUUCAUGAUGUCUUUAAUGACUCUCGGCAACGGAUAUCUCGGCUCUCGCAACGAUGAAGAACGUAGCGAAAUGCGAUACUUGGUGUGAAUUGCAGAAUCCCGUGAACCAUCGAGUUUUUGAACGCAAGUUGCGCCCGAAGCCAAUGGUUGAGGGCACGUCUGCCUGGGCGUCACGUACCCACUUCUCCCAAAAACMUAUAUCUCUUAUGAUAUAUUCUUUUUURUCGAGAAAAAAAUGRUCUCCCAUGCAUCAUUUGUGUGGUUGAUCCAAAAUAGAGUACCGAGUGAUGAAACGUCACGAUAAGUGGUGGUAUAUAAGCCUAAUCGAGUCGAGCGUUUGUCAAUCGAGAUAUACUCUCAAUAAAACCCUUACACGUUGGAAUGACGCUAUUUCGCGACCCCAGUC
rnacentral:misc_RNA from 1 species